rnacentral:rRNA from 1 species
UACGUAGGGUGCGAGCGUUUGUCCGGAAUUACUGGGCGUAAAGAGCUCGUAGGUGGUUUGUCGCGUUGUUCGUUGAAAACUCACAACUCAAUUGUGGGCGUGCGGGCGAUACGGGCAGACGUGGAGUACUGCAGGGGAGACUGGAAUUCCUGGUGUAGCGGUGGAAUGCGCAGAUAUCAGGAGGAACACCCGCGGCGAAGGCGGCCCGCCUGGGGCCAAUCCCUGACGCUGGAGGCGCGAAGGCCCAGGGGGAGCGGAAACGGGGAAUUAGAAAACCCCCAGGUAGUCCCAG